CUGGCUCAGAUUGAACGCUGGCGGCAUGCUUUACACAUGCAAG
rnacentral:rRNA from 1 species